rnacentral:rRNA from 1 species
UGAGUACGAGAUGCUACGGCGUCGAAGCAGUGUAUGUCAGACUUCCAAGAAAAGCUUGCAAUGUCAUAAAUAAAUAAUGCCUGUACCAUAACCGACACAGGUGGGUAGGUAGAGUAUACUAAGGGGCGCGAGAUAACUCUCUCUAAGGAACUCGGCAAAAUAACUCCGUAACUUCGGGAGAAGGAGUGCCUUAUUUUAUAAGGUUGCAAUAACAAGAUCCAAGCAACUGUUUACCAAAAACACAGGUCUCCGCUAAGUCGUAAGACGAUGUAUGGGGGCUGACGCCUGCCCAGUGCCAGAAGGUUAAAGAAGUCGGUUAGCUUUGCUAAGCUGAUAACUGAAGCCCUGGUGAACGGCGGCCGUAACAAUAACGGUCCUAAGGUAGCGAAAUUCCUUGUCGGGUAAGUUCCGACCCGCACGAAAGGCGUAAUGAUUUGGAUACUGUCUCGGAGAGGGACUCGGUGAAAUAGACUUGUCUGUGAAGAUGCGGACUACCUGCACCAGGACAGAAAGACCCUAUGAAGCUUUACUGUAACUUGAAAUUGAAAUUGGACUUAUUUGCGCAGUAUAGGUGGGAGGCGUUGAAAAUAAUCUUGCGGGAUUCUUGGAGCCAUCAGUGAGAUACCACUCCUAUAAUGUUAGAUUUCUAACUUUGUAUCAUAAUCUGGUCAAAGAACAGUUUCAGGCGGGCAGUUUGACUGGGGCGGUCGCCUCCCAAAUGGUAACGGAGGCGUACAAAGGUUUCCUCUGAACGGGUAGAAAUCGUAUCUAGAGUGUAAAGGCAUAAGGAAGCUUGACUGUGAGACCUACAAGUCGAGCAGGGACGAAAGUCGGUCUUAGUGAUCUGACGGUGCUGAGUGGAAAGGCCGUCACUCAACGGAUAAAAGUUACUCUAGGAUAACAGGCUGAUCUCCCCCAAGAGUUCACAUCGACGGGGAGGUUUGGCACCUCGAUGUCGGCUCAUCGCAUCCUGGGGCGGUAGUACGUCCCAAGGGUUGGGCUGUUCGCCCAUGAAAGCGGUACGCGAGCUGGGUUCAGAACGUCGUGAGACAGUUCGGUCCAUAUCCGGUGUAGGCGUUAGAAUAUUGAGAGGAGCCUUCUUUAGUACGAGAGGACCGAGAAGGACAUACCUCUGGUGUACCAGUUAUCGUGCCAACGGUAAACUCUGGGUAGCUAUGUAUGGAGAGGAUAACCGCUGAAAGCAUCUAAGUGGGAAGCCCACCUCAAGAU